rnacentral:rRNA from 1 species
AUGCACGCUGGCGGCGUGCCUAAUACAUGCCAGUCGAGCGAACGGACGAGAAGCUUGCUUCUCUGAUGUUAGCGGCGGACGGGUGAGUAACACGUGGAUAACCUACCUAUAAGACUGGGAUAACUUCGGGAAACCGGAGCUAAUACCGGAUAAUAUUUUGAACCGCCUGGUUCAAAAGUGAAAGACGGUCUUGCUGUCACUUAUAGAUGGAUCCGCGCUGCAUUAGCUAGUUGGUAAGGUAACGGCUUACCAAGGCAACGAUGCAUAGCCGACCUGAGAGGGUGAUCGGCCACACUGGAACUGAGACACGGUCCAGACUCCUACGGGAGGCAGCAGUAGGGAAUCUUCCGCAAUGGGCGAAAGCCUGACGGAGCAACGCCGCGUGAGUGAUGAAGGUCUUCGGAUCGUAAAACUCUGUUAUUAGGGAAGAACAUAUGUGUAAGUAACUGUGCACAUCUUGACGGUACCUAAUCAGAAAGCCACGGCUAACUACGUG